rnacentral:tRNA from 1 species
GAGGGUAUAGCUCAGUGUAAGAGUACGUGCUUAGCAUGCAGGAGGUCCUGGGUUCAAUUCCUGGCAUCUCCA